rnacentral:rRNA from 1 species
UACGAAGGGUGCAACCGUUGCUCGGAAUUAUUGGGCGUAAAGCGCACGUAGGCGGCAUUGCAAGUCGGAUGUGAAAUCUUAUGGCUUAACCAUAAAAGUGCAUCCGAAACUGCAGUGCUUGAGUACUUAAGAGGAUCGCGGAAUUCCCGGUGUAGAGGUGAAAUUCGUAGAUAUCGGGAGGAACACCAGUGGCGAAGGCGACUUCCUGGCCUGUUCUUGACGCUGAGGCGCGAAAGCUAGGGUAGCAAACGGG